rnacentral:rRNA from 1 species
UACGUAGGGACCGAGCGUUGUCCGGAAUCAUUGGGCGUAAAGAGCGUGUAGGCGGCCACUUAAGUCCUGCGUGAAAUCUUGCGGCUCAACCGCAAGCGGUCGUGGGAAACUGGGUGGCUAGAGUGCGGGAGAGGAGAGUGGAAUUCCUGGUGUAGCGGUGGAAUGCGCAGAUAUCAGGAAGAACACCGAUGGCGAAGGCAGGUCACUGGGCCGCAACUGACGCUGAGGAGCGAAAGCAUGGGGAGCGAACAGG